UACAGAGGUCUCAAGCGUUUGUUCGGAUUCAUUGGGCGUAAAGGGUGUGUAGGUGGCGCCGUAAGUCGGGUGUGAAAUUUCGGAGCUUAACUCCGAAACUGCAUUCGAUACUGCGGUGCUUGAGGACUGGAGAGGAGACUGGAAUUCAUGGUGUAGCAGUGAAAUGCGUAGAGAUCAUGAGGAACACCGGUGGCGAAGGCGGGUCUCUGGGCCGAUACUGACGCUGAGGAGCGAAAGCGUGGGGGAGCAAACAGG
rnacentral:rRNA from 1 species